GAAAUGCGAUAAGUAAUGCGAAUUGCAGAAUUUCCGUGAGUCAUCGAAUCUUUGAACGCACAUUGCGCCCAUUGGUAUUCCGAUGGGCAUGCCUGUCCGAGCGUCAUUUCAACCAUCAAGCCCCCGGGCUUGUGUUGGGGACCUGCGGCUGCCCGCAGGCCCUGAAAACCAGUGGCGGGCUCGCUGUCACACCGAGCGUAGUAGCAAUCACCUCGCUCAGGGCGUGCUGCGGGUUCCGGCCGUUAAACAGCCUUACAAAACCCAAGGUUGACCUCGGAUCAGGUAGGAAGACCCGCUGAACUUAAGC
rnacentral:misc_RNA from 1 species